rnacentral:rRNA from 1 species
AUUGAACGCUGGCGGCAUGCCUUACACAUGCAAGUCGAACGGUAACAGGUCUUCGGAUGCUGACGAGUGGCGCACGGGUGAGUAAUACAUCGGAACGUGCCUAGUAGUGGGGGAUAACUACUCGAAAGAGUGGCUAAUACAGCAUGAGAUCUACGGAUGAAAGAAGGGGAUCGCAAGACCUUGUGCUACUAGAGCGGCCGAUGGCAGAUUAGGUAGUUGGUGGGAUAAAAGCUUACCAAGCCGACGAUCUGUAGCUGGGCUGAGAGGACGAUCAGCCACACUGGGACUGAGAAACGGACCAGACUCCUACGGGAGGCAGCAGGGGGGAAUUUUGGACAAUGGGCGCAAGCCUGAUCCAGCAAUGCCGCGUGCAGGAUGAAGGCCUUCGGGUUGUAAACUGCUUUUGUACGGAAAGAAAAGCCCCGGGUUAAUACCCUGGGGUCAUGACGGUACCGUAAGAAUUAGCACCGGCUAACUACGUGCCAGCCGCCGCCGUAA